rnacentral:misc_RNA from 1 species
GCAAACUUGGUCAUUUAGAGGAAGUAAAAGUCGUAACAAGGUUUCCGUAGGUGAACCUGCGGAAGGAUCAUUAAAGAAUUGUCCCAUUUUUGGGACAGUCCAAUUCAUCUUUAUCCACCCCUUGUGUGCACAGUAUUUACUUUUGCGGUUGGCAGGCUUUUAGCCCCGGUAGGACUAAACGUUCUCUUCGAUAAGGAGGGAAUGCGCGUCUGUCAGCAGUAAAAUUUUUAUGAAUCUCACGCUUCUCUACGUUUUUGUCUGAAAUCUUUGUUUUAUGAAUUUUUUCAAUAAAAAUUCUCAAUAAAUACAACUUUCAACAACGGAUCUCUUGGCUCUCGCAUCGAUGAAGAACGCAGC